UCAGGAAACUGUGGGCAGAUAAGUAGUGCAUGACUACAGGAGCAUCAAAUUAGUGGUAGACCCCUGCUGUGUGGAGGAAGCACUCAAGUGGAUAAUCAAGAACAGCCAGCGGCUGGCCAUGGAGGAUACGAAGAAGACCACACCACUUAAGGGCCAGCCAGGGAGGCUUAGCGCCCAUGGCUUCCCCUUCCCCACUUCCACUGCCACCAGUAAUCCUUCAGUAAUACGCUAAAACCCCACUGUAACAUCAGCAGGCCCCAACAUGACAAUUGGUAGAAUGUAGGGUUACAUAACUGAAGGUUAAUCAAAACCAAUAUUGCUCAGACAAUCUUACAGAUACCGUGGGGAGGGGAAAGGAAAAAUGUUUUCUAUUAAUUAAUAGAUGUAUAGGAAAUAGAUCCAUUAUUACGAAUAAAGCAUCAGUUUGAACUGAA